rnacentral:rRNA from 1 species
UUUAUGGAGAGUUUGAUCCUGGCUCAGGAUGAACGCUGGCGGCGUGCCUAAUACAUGCAAGUCGAGCGAACGGACGAGAAGCUUGCUUCUCUGAUGUUAGCGGCGGACGGGUGAGUAACACGUGGAUAACCUACCUAUAAGACUGGGAUAACUUCGGGAAACCGGAGCUAAUACCGGAUAAUAUUUUGAACCGCAUGGUUCAAAAGUGAAAGACGGUCUUGCUGUCACUUAUAGAUGGAUCCGCGCUGCAUUAGCUAGUUGGUAAGGUAACGGCUUACCAAGGCAACGAUGCAUAGCCGACCUGAGAGGGUGAUCGGCCACACUGGAACUGAGACACGGUCCAGACUCCUACGGGAGGCAGCAGUAGGGAAUCUUCCGCAAUGGGCGAAAGCCUGACGGAGCAACGCCGCGUGAGUGAUGAAGGUCUUCGGAUCGUAAAACUCUGUUAUUAGGGAAGAACAUAUGUGUAAGUAACUGUGCACAUCUUGACGGUACCUAAUCAGAAAGCCACGGCUAACUACGUGCCAGCAGCCGCGGUAAUACGUAGGUGGCAAGCGUUAUCCGGAAUUAUUGGGCGUAAAGCGCGCGUAGGCGGUUUUUUAAGUCUGAUGUGAAAGCCCACGGCUCAACCGUGGAGGGUCAUUGGAAACUGGAAAACUUGAGUGCAGAAGAGGAAAGUGGAAUUCCAUGUGUAGCGGUGAAAUGCGCAGAGAUAUGGAGGAACACCAGUGGCGAAGGCGACUUUCUGGUCUGUAACUGACGCUGAUGUGCGAAAGCGUGGGGAUCAAACAGGAUUAGAUACCCUGGUAGUCCACGCCGUAAACGAUGAGUGCUAAGUGUUAGGGGGUUUCCGCCCCUUAGUGCUGCAGCUAACGCAUUAAGCACUCCGCCUGGGGAGUACGACCGCAAGGUUGAAACUCAAAGGAAUUGACGGGGACCCGCACAAGCGGUGGAGCAUGUGGUUUAAUUCGAAGCAACGCGAAGAACCUUACCAAAUCUUGACAUCCUUUGACAA